GAUGAACGCUAGCUACAGGCUUAACACAUGCAAGUCGAGGGGAAACGACAUCGAAAGCUUGCUUUUGAUGGGCGUCGACCGGCGCACGGGUGAGUAACGCGUAUCCAACCUGCCCAUCACUUGGGAAUAACCUUGCGAAAGUAAGACUAAUACCCAAUGACAUCCCACGAAGACAUCUGAAUGGGAUUAAAGAUUUAUCGGUGAUGGAUGGGGAUGCGUCUGAUUAGCUUGUUGGCGGGGUAACGUCACACCAAGGCAACGAUCAGUAUGGGUUCUGAGAGGAAGGUCCCCCACAUUGGAACUAAGACACGGACCAAACACCUAAGGGAGGCAGCAGUGAGGAAGAUUGAUCAAUGGGCGAGAGCCUGAACCAGCAAAGUAGCGUGCAGGAUGACGGCUCUAUGGGUUGUAAACUGCUGUUAUAAGGAAAUAAAGUGGGUCUCGUGAGACUUUUUGCAUGUACCUUAUGAAUAAGGACCGGCUAAUUCCGUG
rnacentral:rRNA from 1 species